rnacentral:rRNA from 1 species
AGAACGAACGCUGGCGGCAGGCUUAACACAUGCAAGUCGAGCGCCCCGCAAGGGGAGCGGCAGACGGGUGAGUAACGCGUGGGAAUCUACCCUUUUYUACGGAAUAACGCAGGGAAACUUGUGCUAAUACCGUAUGAGCCCUUCGGGGGAAAGAUUUAUCGGGAAAGGAUGAGCCCGCGUUGGAUUAGCUAGUUGGUGGGGUAAAGGCCUACCAAGGCGACGAUCCAUAGCUGGUCUGAGAGGAUGAUCAGCCACAUUGGGACUGAGACACGGCCCAAACUCCUACGGGAGGCAGCAGUGGGGAAUAUUGGACAAUGGGCGCAAGCCUGAUCCAGCCAUGCCGCGUGAGUGA